CCUUCAUUCACACCAGUGUCGUCUAGGGAAACCGAACAACGUCAGUGUGCAGACUCUCAGGGUUUUUAGGGGACAUAUUGUAUCUUGAGGCAUUUCAUCUGCAGAACCUGUCUAGGUGGGACACUGUUGGACACUUACUUAGGACAAACGAAAACUUCUGUGUGCUACUUGAAAGAGAAAGUACGCCCAGCGUUCCUUUCCAGAACUGGCAGUUACCACCACUCGCACUUUGGCUUCCGACCAGCUUUGACUGCAGGCUGGAGAAACUAUGUGGAGAGAAAGACAGAAAGAGACACCUGAGUGGUCCCAGAGAUUCCAUCGCCUGGCGAUCCGGCUCUUCCCAGUCCUGCACCAGACACAUGAGGGAGGGAGUCUUCAAAAGGAGCCCAGCCCCAGCCGCCAUGUGAAUGCAGCCUCCUGAGAGAUCCCAAACCAGAGCAACCCAGCCACAGCACUCCUCAUCGGACUCACAGAAACGAUGAAAGAUAAGAAAUGAAUAUUGUUAUUUGAAGCCACUAAGUUUUGGGGUGAUUUGUCAUGCAGCAAUAGUUACAGAUUUUAUAGCUAACUAAUAUAGGCACUCUCCUACCUAGCUGGUGGUAGAUUAAAUUGGUGCAUCCUCCUUGGAGUGCGCAGUUUACUAAUGCCUAACUGAAAUAAUACCUACACAGGCCCUUUGCCCAGAUAUUCCACUUUUAGAAGUUUCCCAACAAAUAUACCCAUACCUAUGCAAAGUGAUAUAUGUAUAUAUAUUUAUCACGGUAUUGUUUAAAUAGAAACAAUCAGAAAUAACCUAAAAGGCAAUUCAUAUUAUAAAUUAUAUAUUAUAAAUUAUAACAUUCAAUGGAAUAUUGUUCAGUCCAACAAAGAAUGAGGGUAUUCUUCACACGAUGCCAUGAAAAAAAUCUCCAACAUAAUUUCCAAGCAAAACAAUAAUAGAAAAGGAUGUGCAAGGCAGCGUGGACAGUGCAGUGGCAGCUAUGUAGGAGGAGGAGAAGCCUGUCCUUGUUCCUAACUGCGUGAAUAUGCAUAGAUUAUCUUUGCAAUGUACGCGAGGAACCUUCACGUCCAUUGCCUGGAGAAGAGAACUAAUGGCUGACAGACAAGAGGGCGAUGGUGGGGCUUUACACUAUACCCUUCAAGACUUCUUAAUUUUAUACCAAGUGAAUAUAUUACCUAAUCAGGAAUAAAAAAAUAAAAAUUAACUUAAAAAAAAAGAAAUUUCUAUCAGUUGUUUUUGCUUUAACUUAACACUGUCUGGACUUUUAGAUCUUAGAGCUGGGUCUUCAAACCAAGGCAAUUCUGAGGGUCAAGCAGAGUUUCUUCCAGGGUGUACAUCCUGGAGGGUAAGGGAACCAGUUUCUAGACGGAGAAUGAAUACCAGUGCUCUUGCUUACAGUUCAGCUGUCUGGGAAAGUACCUUGCUGGGCUGGUUCUCCCUGCUUCUCUCCCAGGUUUCUUUCUCUCACUUGACAAAAGACAGGCAGACCUCUCGCCUGUCCUGCUUUUCACUCUGGGUGUUGCCUCAGAAUGGAAAGACCCCUUGGAGGCCAAACAAAGGAACAAUUCAAGAUAUUGGCAUUGGUUUUGAGAAAGUGAACAACUUUAAAGAUUGAGAAAUAAAUCCUUUUGCAGAUUUAAUUCUUGCAAAAGGUAGUUUCCAAGAUUUUGCUUUCAAAAUAAUUGAAAGAGGACCUAUUGAGUUGUCAGCUGAUAGAACAUUAAAAAUUACAUUUGAUAAUGGAUCACAGGGCCGUUUUUUACAUAUAACUCAGAACUUCAAAGAAAUGAGUGAUGUUGCUAUAAGAAAACUCCUUCCAUGGCCAUCUGCUUAUUUAUAUAAAGAACGUUCCUCAGCACUAUUUUUAAAAACAAAAAAGAAUAAAAUUGAUGCGAUAGAUUAUACUCAGCCCUAAAAACUGAACUUGCUUAAAAACUAAAGCAGCUCUUUUCAUCUUACUAAGAGAUACAUUUCCAAUAAAAUUUCACUUUUAUGUUUAAUGAUUAUAGGUGGUCAAACCAUUAGAGUGAUAACACCGUCAAAAGUUGUUUGGUUUUUUUACCCUUAGAGAAUAACAGUCACAGGAAAUCUUCUAAAAUUUAAAUUUGUUCCCAUACUUUUAUUGCCUUGAAGUAUGAUAGAAUGAUUUUUAAAAAAAGACUUUCAAGCAUACAGAUAGAUUACAUCAAGAGUAAAAUUCUUUGGGGGAAGCAGAAUGAAAUGAGCUGAAAUUGAAAAGGGAACAAUGUAAAAUUUCCUUAUGUUAAACACUAUUUUUUUGAUAUAUUUUUUAAACGACGAUGGCAGGUAUAAAAUGGCUGUGAUAUUUGGAUACAUUUUAAAGAAUAAUAUAACAAGGCUUCAAAAGUGUCCAUAUUUAUUAUGAUGGAAAUUACAUCUUUUGUUGAAGAAACAUUUUAAAUAACGUAAAACUGCAUAAGGGAGAAAGUUCUUCAAAUUCUUUAAGCAAAACACAGACAAAUAAUUCGAACUAUUGCCUUAGGGACCAUCUGAUCCAGCUCUCUUUACUUUGCAGAUGAAAAACUUGUCCAUCAAAGUGAAGUAACUUCCUCAAGGUCAAGUGACAAAUAAGACCAGAUCCUGGUCUCCUGCCUCCUGGUCCAGGCAGCCAGAUCUAAUCCAGGCAGCCUGCCUGGUAGGGGAUCUUUCCUGCAGUUAAUCACCAGCUGAAUGGAUCCUGGGGCUCCAGGCCAAAGUGAAAAUGCUGCUCAGCUUGCAAGCAUCAUUACAGAGCACUUUUAUUAGCUCUGACUCACCCUGCGCCCGUCUCCACAGCCUGCAAGAAGGCUGCCUGUUACCUUUGUUUCCUCCAGUUCCCAUGGAUACCACCUGAAGGGGCUUCGAAAGCUUCUAAUACCGGCUUCCUCUGUCUUUUGCAAGAGUUGUAGCCCGAACAUGCUGUCCAGCCUGGGACUACGUUUCUCAGCCUCCCUUGAGCCACGUGAGGUUAUGCGCCUACACCUUCACCGAUGGAACGUGAGCAAGAGAGUGCCACACUCAAGCUGGAGCCCACUGCCUCCAUGAUCUUUUCCUAUUCCCUUUUGGUCUUGUUGGUGAAAACAUGUAAUGGUCUUAAAAUCCAUGAGUUGCUAUCAGACUUGGUGCCUAAGCCACGCAUCAACCCAGAGCCCUUGUCUGGAUGGCUUCACGACAGAGAAAGAAACAGCUUGUUCCUCAGCUCACCACAUUUUAGAGAUCUUUAUUAGAAAGCUUACGUUGCCCUAGCAAACUUGGCCACAACGCUCCAAGGUCGUGACCUACAGUUUGGGGAGCACAUUGUCCAACUGUUCUAAGCACUGCCCCGAGCACAUCAUCCCCUUAGACUGGGGCUCCGACCCAUCAAAUGCUUCGAAAGCCCUCGGUUUCAGGACCCCAGCCUGGGAAACAGGUGGCCCAGGCCCUGCUCCACGCCCCCGGCUGUCAGGAGCUCACUGCCUGCUGCUUUAACUGACUGAGAUAUUAAAGAGUUCUUCAACGUUCCCAGUAGAAAUAACCAUGCUGCCACGUGCAUCCUCCAUGCUGAUCCUGCCCUUGGAAGCCAGGAAAAACCCUAUGGUCAUGUAUGGUUUUCAAGAGAGGAAAGAGUUGUUGACUCCAUCCAGAUGGGGACUGCGAGGGACUGGUCUGCCCUGGAGCCGGGGAAGGCUUCCAGUGGGUGCAGAGAACCAGAGCAGGAGCCUCUGAUAGACUUGCGACGAUGCGUGUCCACUGGGAGCUCAGGAAGCAUAAAAGGAGCAUGUGCAGGUUUCUCCUGCAAAAGCCCGGGUCAGAGGCACAUCUCCAGCAGGACUGGCAUUCAGAAGGGCUACUUUGGGGAGACAGCUUCUUAAAAAAGGAGCAAUUUACGAUCUCAACAUUUUUGGAGAGAACGUGUUUUAUUCAUUCCCUGCCACAACCCACCUGUUGCAUAUGGCGCUGUGGGCAGCGCAGGAGUUACAGACUUACAGUUACUGGUUGUUCUUCAGACAGGCUGUGCCUUGUCUGGGGGAGGCGCUGAGAGAUGUUUCCUCAAACAGCCAAGAGCAAGAAGGCUAGAGGGAGUGCAUCCGUCAUGCUGGGGUUGCACCAAGGGUCAAGCGUAGGCAAACACAAUUCUGUGCACUCAAUGUGGCAUAUGGAACAUGUACAGAGAACCCGCCAGGAUGGCCACCAAAAUGGAUGGAAAAUGGGAGAAAGGAGAGGAGACGAUGGGGAGAGGCCAGGACAAUUUCCUGCACCAAUUGUCCUGGGUAAUCAGGGCAGUCUCCCUGAGCAGACUGGUGUCCCGGCUUAUGUUUUAUUGCUUGGCCAGUGCACGGCGAGUCUGUUAGGUUUACAUUAAGGCGCAGCACUCAGGAAAACAGCUGCCUUCAAAACAGUGAUUUUUGCUUUCUGGAGCUGCCCUAUCCUUUAGCAGUCUCACCUUCACUCUGCGGUCAAGAAGAUCUGCCUCUUGAAUGCACAAGUCAGAGCAAAACUGUGUCAAAGUUUUUAAACCUAUAACGUUUAACCACACUGUGGAUUCACAAUGUCGAAAAGCCUCAAUCGUCUUCCAAACUGGAAAGUUUAAAGAUACUUAGCACAAAGUUGGAUCAUGGAUCCACUUUUGAAAAAGAAACUUUCCAUUUCAGCUAGAAGAGCAUCACUUUAAGUCGGAGCACUGCCUGAAAGACUGUGUAAACUAUGACCACGAAAUAAGGAACUUUUUAAACAAACACAUUAGAAUGUCUAACCCAAAUAAGUGUCAGUCUUGGGAGCAUCUUUUUCGUCAAAUGAUGCCAUUAUUGCUCAAAGCUUUUUCAAAAUUCUUCUUUCCGAGGAGCCUUCAAAACAACUUGCACAAAAGCAGAAGGAUGUCACCUGACUUGAUAGUCACAGGUUUGCUUUCUUGAUGCAAUGCAAUUUUCUUCUUUUUACACUUUUUGCAACUUUAACCCUGCCCUUCUUCCCUCUUUCACGUCAUGAACUAAUAACCAAGGGAUCCCAAGAGAUGUGUUGUAAUGGUGCUACCUGAGAAAGGAAAGGUCUGGGAGAAAGAGCAUGGGGCUAGUUAUAGCUCAGAAUAGGAGAGACCAAAGGAGCAUGGCCACUGCCUCAAUCCCUUUGGGUAUUGAGUGACUAUAAGAAAUGUAAUUGGAUAACUGGCCAAGUGUCCUCAACACAAAUCAUCUCAAGUUGAACCCCCAUUAAGUCAGGGGAUAUUCCUUGGCUAUAGCCAAGAGGUAGCAUCAUGCAUCUAACAGAGAUCUGGGUUUGGUCAAAGUCUUUUUUUGCAACAGACCAGAACAUGACCGGCCAGCCAUGCUGGAGCUGGUUGCCGCUGGAUGGCAGGGAAUUUUGAGGCAGAGAUAAUGUAGCAAAGAACCAGUUGUUGUUUGGAUUCCCUCAAUGGCAGUAGCUGUAAGAGAGUCUUCUAAGUGUUGGCUUGGACCAAUGUUUGGGGAAAGAUUAGUUUGAGAGAGUUCUAGUUGUGUGGAGCUACAAGAGGAGAAAGAACCAGCUCAGGGUAGGCAAGAAUAACAGAGAACCUGAGGUGUGUACCCAGAUUUGGAACCAACUGGAAGACCUAGUUGGCUUGCUGUAAGGAUUAAAUGAGA
rnacentral:lncRNA from 1 species